rnacentral:rRNA from 1 species
UACAGAGGCCCCAAGCAUUAUCCGGAUUUACUGGGCGUAAAGAGCUCAAAGGUGGUUGUGUAUGUCGAGCGUGAAAGACCGGAGCUUAACUCCGGAAACGUGCUCGAAACUGCACGGCUAGAGUCUGGGAAGGGCAAGCGGAAUUGUCGGUGUAGCGGUAGAAUGCGUUAAUAUCGACAAGAACACCAAUGGCGAAGGCAGCUUGCUGGAACAGUACUGACACUACAGAGCGAAAGCGUGGGUAGCGAACAGG